UACGUAGGGGGCUAGCGUUGUCCGGAUUCAUUGGGCGUAAAGAGCGUGUAGGCGGCCAGGUAGGUCAGCUGUGAAAACUGGAGGCUCAACCUUCAGACGUCGGCUGAAACCAUCUGGCUAGAGUCCGGGAGAGGAGAGUGGAAUUCCUGGUGUAGCGGUGAAAUGCGCAGAUAUCAGGAAGAACACCCGUGGCGAAAGCGGCUCUCUGGAACGGUACUGACGCUGAGACGCGAAAGCGUGGGGAGCGAACAGG
rnacentral:rRNA from 1 species